rnacentral:siRNA from 1 species
AGGAGGUAGCUGGAUCGCUGA